AUUAGCCAUCGUAGUUUUUAACAAAUCGCCGGUUAAUUUUACAUCGGAUAUAAGUAUAAUAUUGUGAAAACAAUGGAAGAAUGUCAUUAAAUUGCUCGGCCCAAUCUAAUACUACUCCUUUCUGUCUCAAGAACCAUUUAAAACGGAAAACAUCUCUUCUCACACUCGUUAUGGCUACAGAGAGGCAUCUUUUCCUAGUUACUAAUAAUAACUUUCUCGACCUUACUGGUAAUCUGAUGUUAAGGAUAGAUGUCGGAAAAACUCCAUUCAAUCUACACUGUUUCAGAAACAUAAAACAUUCUUCUAAGAGGAUUAAUUUCUUG
rnacentral:lncRNA from 1 species